GACGAACGCUGGCGGCGUGCUUAACACAUGCAAGUCUAGGGACACUUCGGUGUCACUGGCGCACGGGUGAGUAACACGUAGGUUAUCUGCCCCCAUCACAGACAAAACAUCGGGAAACUGGUGCUAAUAUCUGAUGAGGCCGCGAGGUCAAAGCUUCGGCGGAUGGGGAUGAGCCUGCGGCUGAUUAGCUAGUUGGUGAGGUAAUGGCUCACCAAGGCGACGAUCAGUAGCUGGUCUGAGAGGACGAACAGCCACACUGGAACUGAGACACGGUCCAGACUCCUACGGGAGGCAGCAGUGAGGAAUAUUGGUCAAUGGGAGCAAUCCUGAACCAGCAAUGCCGCGUGUGGGAUGACAGGGCUCAGCCUUGUAAACCACUGUCGGAUGGGACGAAAAGAGGCCUUGGGCCUCCGGGACGGUACCAUCAAAGGAAGGGUCGGCUAACUACGUGCCAGCAGCCGCGGUAAUACGUAGGACCCGAGCGUUGUCCGGAAUUACUGGGUAUAAAGGGUGCGUAGGCGGUCUUGUGCGUCAGGGGUGAAAUCUCCGGGCUUAACCCGGAUGGUGCCUUUGAUACGGCAGGAUUUGAGUGCGAGAGAGGAUGAUGGAAUUCCUGGUGUAGCGGUGAAAUGCGUAGAUAUCAGGAGGAACACCGGUGGCGAAGGCGGUCAUCUGGCUCGUAACUGACGCUGAGGCACGAAAGCGCGGGGAUCAAACAGGAUUAGAUACCCUGGUAGUCCGCGCCCUAAACGAUGUAUGCUUGGUGUUGGGUCCGCAAGGACUCAGUGCCGAAGGAAAUCUGGUAAGCAUACCACCUGGGGAGUACGAUCGCAAGGUUGAAACUCAAAGGAAUUGACGGGGGCCCGCACAAGCGGUGGAUCAUGUGGUUUAAUUCGAUGCAACGCGAAGAACCUUACCCAGGCUUGAAGUGUAAGUAGUACAGAGAUGAAAGUCGACGGACCCGU
rnacentral:rRNA from 1 species